CAUCCUGUGGUUAAUAAAUUUUAACAUUAUUACACCCUAGACUACAACAGAAUUAGAUUAUAGGGACACAUAUUUGAAACACUUUUGAGUAAGUGUCUUAUUUAUCCUAAAACUUAAAAAAAUAUCUACUAAUGCCUAAAUAUAAAGCCUAAUCCAACCAAAAAUAAAAGAUUACUCUACUCAACCCACCACACCCAGUCUAUUUGGCCCGAUUACAAGCAGAAAAGAAAAAAAAAAAAAGAAAAAUCAAUUAGCAUUUUUUUUUUCUUUUCACUCAAUUCACUGAAAUUCUAGACGAAGAGCCUUUCCUGUCGUCCUCCUCCGCCACCGCAGCCAACGAGAUAGAGUUUCAGCGGUUGCUAAAUACUUAAAUAAGUAUUGGUAAAUUAGCAGCACUCUUUUAGGUUAUAGCGACACUCUUUAAUUGUCACUAUAUACCUAGCGACCCCACAUAUAGCAACACUUUUUAAAAGUGUUGGUAAUUUUAGCUAGCAGCAUUUUUUUGACAUGUAUCUAUAUUUAAAAGUGUCGCUAUAGACCGUUUUUGUUGUACCUCUCGAUGACGCAUUUUCGCACUGACAUAAAAAAGAAAUUA
rnacentral:lncRNA from 1 species